GAACUUUUGGAAUUUCCUUUUGUCUAUUCCAUGGUAUAUUGAAUAGACCAUAUUGACUUACCAUUGAAGCAUCAUGAUGUACCAGAUAUAUAGGAAGUAGGGAACUUUUAGUCUUUUCCAUCCUAAGGUUAGGAAUUUUACUGUUUGCAUUUUAAGUGAAAAUGAAGUGGUAAUAAUUUGACCGAGUUUUCAAAAGCACAUAACAUGGUAACCUUAUUAUAGACCGGAACUUUCUUACAAUGUAUAUCCAGAUUCAUAACAACCUGAGAAACCAAUUUUUUGAUGGUUUUACCAAAUUCUCAGACACACGAUGAAACUAGGAAAAAUUAAUAUAUAAACAAUGAGAUUCAACUUAUCAAAGCCUUACCUACUAUGUUGGAUUUCAUGCAUGAAAUCUUAUUCUAAAACAGGGAUAAGAUUUGGCCAAAAAAAGAAGAAGGGAUAAGAUGUCUUUUAUGUUAUAUUCCACAUGAUAUCGCUUAGAAGGUGUUGUUCUGAAUACUGAUUUUUUUUUUCAAAGAUAUUAGAGCCAUAUAACACAAUUGACAAAAGUUAGCUACUAUAACAAGGAAAAGAAAACCUCAAAUGGAUAGAAAACAAGCCUCUAGUCAUGUUUUCGAUAACUUCAGAUGCUGUUUAUAUGCAUAUUUUUUUUUUAUUAUUCAUGCUCAGUAAAGUUAGGUUUACAGUUUAUAAUUGAUGAAAUGUCAUAAUGGUAGUUUAAAGUGAAAGGGGCCUAUAGUUUACCAUUUUAACUUUGUAGCUGAUAAGAAAUGCAUCCUCGGAUACACGUCCAUAUUUAGAUGUGUAUACCGUGAUUUAUGUCCAUCUCCCAUGUUGCAGGUGUGAUAUCUUUUUACUUGUCUGAAAUUUACUGACUGCAAAUUCAGUCAUAUAUAACUUAGAAAAAUCAGAUGUACUGAUAAUUUGUCUUUUAUGCCUUAUUUAGCUGAAAGUAAAUCUACAAAUGAU
rnacentral:misc_RNA from 1 species